GACCGCGUAGCUCAGUUGGAGGAGCAUUGGGCUAGUAUUCCGGGGGUCGUGGGUUCGAGUCCCACCGUGGCCG
rnacentral:tRNA from 1 species